GGUGAUGGAAUCGUAAGCUUCAUUGACUUCCUGGGUGUCUUUGAUGACAACCACCGCUUGGCUCAGUGCAUGGGCACCCGCCCCAGGUGCGCGCAGCCCGUACUCUCAGAUUCCUAACCUGGAGGGGUUGGCGCUCCCGGAACGCAGGACACGAAGCCCAGCCCCGGGCCCCGGCUUCCGCCUGAUCCAGCCCUACUAGCCCGGCCGCCCCAAGAUCCCGCCCAGCCCGGGGCGUGUCUCGGCCUAGGGAUACUGGGCCAGCCACGAGAGCCUCCGCCCCCUCGAAGCGGGCUCCCUCGCCGCCAACUCUAGUGAAGAAGCAGCCCUUCUCCCCGGCGCCCGCUGGUUUGCAGAGGCCUGCUAUGAAGAGCUUGUGCAAGUAAAGCGUUUGCUGAGCGGAAACAGGCUGCGGGUGGCUGCGGCAGGCACG